CUCGGUAGCAGUAGCAACCGACUGCGGUCCCCUUUCACGUUGUGGGGCCAGUGUUCUUUUGCUAUUUGCAGUAAACCUUGCCGCUGGUCACUUUGGGUCCACACUGCGUUUAUGAGGUGUAACACUCACUGUGAAGGUCUGCAGCUUCACUCCUGAAGCCAGGGAGAGCACGAACCCACCAUGGGGGAACAAACAACUCCAGACGUGCUGCCUUAAGAGCUGUAACACUCGCCGUAAAGGUUUGCAGGUUCACUCCUGAGCCAGCGAGACCAUGAACCCCCCAGAAGGAAGAAACUCGGAGCACAUCCGAACAUCAGAAGGAGCAAACGCCAGACACGCUGCGUUUAAGAACAGCAACACUCACCACGAGAGUCUGCGGCUUCAUUCUUGAAAACUUGGCAGAAUCUAGUGCUGGUCCUGGAGCUAAGUCUUGAGAAGACCUGGAGGCUUCCACUUCUGCGCUUUUGGAAAUUCUGAGCUUCCGUGUUAGAAGAGUUGCUACCCUUCUGGAGAUACUACAUGGAAAGACCUCAUGAAGAGGCCAUAUGGAAAGGGAGAAGCCUUGUCCAACCAUCUCCACCAAGGUCCCAGGCAUAUGAGAGAGCCAACUUGGACAGUCUGGUCCUGUUGAGCCCCCAGAUGCCCACAGUCUCAGUUGACAACAUGUGGAGCAGAAGAACUGCCCAGAUGAGCCCAGCCAACCCAGUGAAUCAUGAGAAUAAGGAAAUGGUUUUUGCUUAAAGCUUUUGCUUUGAAGUGGUUCCUUAUGCAGCAGUAGAUAUCUGAAACAGGGGGCAUUGAUUAGUGACAUCAAGGCCCUAGGGGAUGGCAGAACUCCCAGAUGGAAGAAAGCUGGAUGUCUGAGUCAUGGCAAGGAGAGCCAUUCACCAACUAGGAAACCACGUAGAAAUAUUCCACAGGAGAAAUAAACUUUUGUUGUAUUUGAGCAUUUCAAAACUUGAGGUUUAUUUGUUGUAGCAGCUAGCAUUUCCCUAAUGAAUAUAGUUGUUCACUUAUUUGAAAAUUCACAUAGAUUUUUCAUAGAGGAGAUCAUUACUAGUUCUCAAAUUAUGGGGGAAGUUCAUUCAUUUUCCUUCACCUCUGUUCUUACAUCUAUAAAAUAGGGCUAAUGCUCUGUAUCUCCAAGGAUUGUUCUCAUACCAAAU
rnacentral:lncRNA from 1 species